rnacentral:lncRNA from 12 species
CUUUGUUGUCAGUUUUAUUUGUGAUUAGAACAGUAAACUCUGCAUGUAUGCUUGCACUUAAUAGUUUGUUGCUCAUGCAAGCACGGCUGUCAGCUCACAAUUUAAAAAAACAUUAUGUUAGGGCUGGAGCGUGGCAGGCUUUGAAUUCCAGGCUAAGUAGUUUGUAGUUAAUUUAGGAGGCAAUGGGGAGCCCUUACAGGAUAAUCAACAGGGGAGAUACAUGAUCAGUGCUGUACUUUAGGAAUCACAGACUGGCAGGGCUGAAAGAUUCCUUAGAGAUUACUUACCCAGUGGUCACCAUCCAGGAGGCAUGGCAAUCACACCGAGGGUUCUCGAGGGGUUGUCAAGAUUUCAGAAAGACUACAGGGAGCCAUGCACCUCUCCAUAAUAAGGCUGUACAUUUCAACUGCAGCAUGAAUGUUAUUUGUUUGGGGUUAGAAUUAAUCAAACUGGGGCACUGAUCAGAAGCAUUAAUUGGCAGUUAUGAAGUCUGAUUAUUUAUUUUUACUUUUAAAAAGAUUUAUUUAUUUCUUAUUUUAGAGAGACAGAGAGAGAAGAGAGAGAGAGAGAGUAGGAGCAGGGGGAGGCGCAAAGGGAGAGAAUCUCCAGCAGACUCCCUGCUGAGCACGGAGCCCAACCCUGAGAUCAGGAGCUUGAUCCCAUGACCCUGCAAUCAGGACCUGAGCUGAAAUCAAGAGUCGUAUGCCCAACCGACUGAGCCACCCAGGUGCCCCGAUUAUUUUUUUUUAAUGGGAAAACAAGUUAAUUGUUUCUUAGCAAAUGAAAAUUUUAACAUUAGAAUUUUUUUUUCUAAUCAUGGGCUCCACAAAUUAAAAACAAAAGAAAAGGGGGUCUUGAGUCGUGAAAAAGUUGGGAGCCUCUUUACAAUACAACCAAUCCUUUCAUCUCCAGAUGGGAAAACAGAGACCGAUGGAACUUGCCUUAGAGGAAGAUGGACAAAUGGAUUGGACAGUACAAGUAGAAGUUGACCCUCAUUUUCAACAUCCUCCACUGCCACGGACAGCGAGGACUGCCGGUACUUAGUGAUGACUAGAUCUGGGCCUUGACGUUGGAAGUGAGUGGCUACAGUGAAGGAGAAGUGGUCUUGUAGUUGAAGGGUUUUUAGUGCUCCUUUUCAGUAGAAAUUCUAGAACCCUCAACAGCUGUGAGAGAUUUAUAUCAGUGACUCAUUAAUAUAAGCAAUCCAGCAGCCUAAAGCUUAGUUGUGUGAGAAGAGGUGGCAGCAAGUUCCCAUACUCUCAACCCUUCUCUCUCUUGUUGCCACUGUACUGUAAAAUGCUGCCUUUAGAGAUUUAGGUCUUCAGGUUAAGCCUUGCCCUUCAAUUGUUUAAAAAAAAUAUAUGCCUCAAAUGCUAACUAUGUGAGGUUAUGUAUGUGUAAACUAACCUUAUUGUGGUAAUCAUUUCGCAAUGUAUAUGUCUAUCAAGUACAAAUAAAAUAUGGAUGUGGAAAGACUGCUGUAGCA